AUGUCAACCGCCAUCAAAACCCUCCUCACCACCAUCCCAACAACCAAACUCGGAACGUACGUACAAAAAUGCAUCUCCUUCUUGAAAACCCAUAACUCCAUCAAGGAGGGAACGGUCCUUCAUGGCUAUUUGGUCAAGACUGGUCUCUCAUCCGAGAGAUGCAUAGCCGUAAGGCUACUCAUCAUGUACCUGGAUAUAAGAAAACCCAAAGAAGCUACUCAAGUACUUAAAGAGUUCAAAGUGUUCGACCCCAUCGCGCAUAACUGUUUGAUCAAUGAUCACGUCAAGCGUGGAAAUGUCGACGAGGCACGUCGCUUGUUCGACGUAAUGCCCAAGAGAAAUGACGUCACGUGGACGGCGUUAAUCUCGGGGCUCAUGAAGUGUGGUAGGGUAAGGGAGGCAAUGUGGUACUUUGAGAGGAACCCGUUUCGUAAUGUGAUCUCUUGGACGGCGGCGAUUAGUGGGUUGGUGCAGAAUGGGAGGAGUUUCGAAAUGUUUAAGCUUUUUCGGAACAUGUUUGAGUCUGGAGUGAGACCUAAUUAUGUCACGUUUAGUUCGGUUUUGAGCGGUUGUGUAGAGUUUGGUUUUGGAAUGAGUGUUUUAGGGAUGGUUGUUAAGAUUGGGUUUGAGAAGAAUGUGUCAGUUUUGAACUCGUUGGUUAGUUUGUGUGUGAGGAUGGGCGAAAUGGGUGUGGCUAGGAGGGUGUUUGAUCGAAUGGAGAAGAGAGAUGUUGUUUCGUGGACUGCGAUUCUCGAUAUGUAUGUUAGGAUGGGGGAUUUGAGGGAAGCGCGCCGCGUUUUUUAUGAGAUGCCGGAGAGAAAUGAGGUUUCUUGGAGUGCAAUGAUUGCGAGGUGCAGUCAGAGCGGCUAUCCUGAAGAGGCGGUGGUGCUGUUUCGACGUAUGAUUGAGAAUCGGUUGGUUCCAAAUGUGUCUUGUUUGGCUAGCAUUCUCAGUGCAUUGGCUAGCUUGAAGGGUUUGCUGGUGGGAAUGAGCGUCCAUGCACAUAUUCUGAAAGGUGGACUUGAGAAAGAUGCGUUUAUCAGCAGCUCGCUUAUAGACUUGUACUGCAAGUGUGGAAAACUGAGGAUGGGCGCUUGGCGUUUGGCUUGAUUUCGGAGAAGAAUGUGGUUUCAUGGAAUUCUAUGGUUGGGGGGUACUGUCUGAAUGGACAAAUGGAAGAAGCUAAAGUGUUAUUUGAUAGGAUACCUGUGCCGAACAAUGUAUCUUGGAAUACUAUGGUGGGGGGUUACUUAGAAAACAAGGAAUUCGAUAAGGUAUUUGAAGUGUUCAAUGAGAUGCUCUUGUGCGGAGUGACCCCUAAUAUAUCUACUUUCUCGAGUGUGCUAAGUUGUUGCGCGAGCAUAGCGUCAUUAGUGAAAGGAAAGAACCUCCAUGGGAAAGCAAUUAAACAUGGAAUCCAAUAUGAUGUUUUUGUUGGUACUACCCUUACGGACAUGUAUGCAAAAUCGGGGGAUAUUGACAGCUCCAAGAAGGUGUUUGACAGAAUGCCGAAGAAGAAUGAAAUCAGUUGGACUGCGAUGAUUCAGGGGCUAGCAGAUAAUGGUUUUGCUGAGGAAUGUUUGUCGCUGUUCGAGGAAAUGAGAAGAACGUCAACUGUUGCUCCUAAUGAGCUCAUGCUCUUAUCAGUUCUUUUUGCUUGCUCUCACACUGGCUUAAUCGACAAAGGGUUGCAGUACUUUAAUUCAAUGGUAAGUGUCUAUGGUAUAAAGCCAAGGGGAAGACACUACACUUCUGUGGUGGACAUGCUGUCUCGAUCAGGACGCCUUUCUGAAGCCGAGGACUUCAUAAAGUCCCUGCCAUUUGAACCUGAAACUAGUGCCUGGGCAGCUCUAUUGAGUGGCUGUAACAGAUAUAAAAAUGAUGAGAUAGCAGAAAGGACAGCCCGGAAGCUUUUGGAGUUGGUAGAAAGAAAUUCUGCAGGAUAUGUGAUGUUGUCGAACAUCUAUGCUUUGGCUGGGAGAUGGAUUGAUGUUCGGAAGAUUAGGAGAUUUAUGAGGGACAGGGGAUUGAAGAAGAGUGCUGUUGGUUGUAGUUGGGUUGAGGUGAAAAAUGUAGUCCACUGUUUCUAUGCAGAAGAUGCAUCUCACUGCCAGCUAGCCGAGAUUUCUGAUCUUUUAGAACUUUUACGUCAAGAAAUGCAGGAAACCGCUUCAAGCAUGGAUCCGUAUACACUCAAGUCUGUGGCAGACUUGCCGGCUCCUUUUCGAGCUUGUUUUAGCUUUAGGUAUUUCAACUCUUUGCAGAGUGAAUGCUUUCCUGCUUGUUUCCACUCAGAUGAGAACAUGGUUGUGUCAGCACCAACCGGAAGUGGUAAAACAGUCAUUUUUGAGCUUUGCAUUUUGAGGCUUCUUUCAAGAUUCAUCUCUGAGGAUGGGAGGUUUAAACCUACAAAUGGAACUCUCAAAACAAUCUAUAUUGCGCCAUCAAAGGCUUUAGUUCAAGAGAAGGUUCGUGACUGGACCCAGAAGUUUGGAUCUCGGGGCAUAGUUUGCUUGGAGCUCACCGGAGAUAAUGAAUCUUACAACACCAGGAAUUUACAGGAAGCAGACAUUAUUUUAACCACUCCUGAGAAAUUUGAUGCAGUAACGCGGUAUCGCGUAAAGGACGGUGGAUUGGGCUUUUUCAGCGAUAUUGCACUUCUACUUAUUGAUGAAGUUCAUCUAUUGAAUGAUCCUCGUGGAGCAGUUUUGGAAGGAAUAGUUAGCAGAAUCAAAAUGCUUGCUCACAACCCUGAAAUGAAAUCAAGCUCUCUGGCUCAUGUUCGUUUUCUAGCUGUGUCUGCAACCAUUCCCAAUAUUGAGGACCUUGCGGAGUGGCUCAAGGUGCCUGUCCAAGGAAUUAAAAGGUUUGGAGAAGAAAUGAGGCCUGUCAAGCUGACCACAAAAGUUUUUGGCUACGCCCCAGCAAAAAAUGAUUUUCUGUUUGAAAAGCGCCUUCAAAACUACAUAUUCGAUAUUCUUAUGCAGCAUUCAAGAGGGAAGUCUGCUCUAGUUUUUUGCUCAACUAGAAAAGGUGCACAAGAAGCAGCACAGAUACUUUCUCAGGCAGUGAUGGCCUUUGGCCAUUCAAAUCCAUUCAUUAAAAGCAGAGAACAGCAAGAGAGGCUAAGGGAAGCUUCAUUGUCAUGCAGUGACAAACAAAUGCAAUCAUAUAUGAUUUAUGGUGUUGGUUAUCACAACGGUGGCCUUUGCCUCAAAGAUCGUAAUCUCGUUGAAAGUCUUUUCCUUAAGGGUGAUCUUCAAAUUUUGUGUACAACAAAUACUCUUGCUCAUGGAAUCAACCUACCAGCACAUACAGUAGUCAUAAAAUCAACACAGCACUUUAACAAAGAGAAAGGAGUCUACAUGGAAAUUGACCGAUCUACACUACUACAGAUGUGCGGGAGGGCAGGUCGGCCACCGUUUGAUGAUACAGGAAUGGUUAUAAUUAUGACAAGAAGAGAUACGGUUCACUUGUAUGAGAAUCUCUUGAAUGGAUGUGAGAUGGUGGAAUCACAAUUGCUUUCAUGUUUGACGGAGCAUUUAACUGCGGAGAUAGUUCAACUGACUGUCUCUGAUAUAACAAGGGCAAUUGAAUGGAUGAAGUGUUCUUUCUUGUAUGUGAGAAUGAAGAAGAACCCUGCACACUAUGCAAUUAGAAAAGUGAUUUCCAAUGAUCGUAUAGAAAAGCAUAUGCUAGAUGUCUGUUUACAGAAAGUUAAUGAGUUAUCGCAGCAUCAGAUGAUAUGGACUGAUGAAGAUGGUUUUCUGUUGAAACCACUAGAACCUGGGAGGCUGAUGACGAAGUACUAUUUGAAAUUCGACACAAUGAAAUACAUUAUUCAGACACCUGUAAACUGCAGCUUGGAAGAUGCUCUUCAUGUUAUAUGCCGUGCUGAGGAAAUUUCAUGGAUACAGCUCAGGCGGAAUGAGAAGAAGCUUUUAAAUGACAUAAACACUGAUAAAGAUGGUCGACUUCGCUUUCACAUUCUUGGUGACAAAGGGAAGCGAAAAAAGCGUAUUCAAACCAGAGAAGAAAAGAUAUUUCUUUUGGCUAAUGACUGCUUGACUGGUGAUCCUUCGGUUCAUGAUCUGUCCCUUACCCAGGAUAUGAACUCCAUAUGCUCAAAUGGCUGCAGAAUUGCCAGGUGCAUGAAGGAAUUUUUCAUUUACCAAAAGAACUACAAAGGGGCCUUGAAUUCUAUGCUUUUGGCAAAGUCUAUGUAUCAAAAACUCUGGGAUGACAGUCCAUACUUGCUGAAACAAUUACCAGGGAUUGGAAUGGUGACCGCAAAGGCACUACAUUCGAUGGGAGUUAAAUCAUUUGAGACACUGGCAGAGGCUGAUCCUAGGAGAAUAGAGAUAGUCAGUGGUCGAAAAUACCCAUUUGGCAACCAUAUAAAAGAGUCUCUACUGUCUCUACCUCCAAAAGUUGAGUUGAAAGUUGAGGAAACUGAACCUCGGGGGCAAGGGAAACUGAAGCUAGCAGUAACACUGACUAGGCUAUCACCGACUCUCCAAUCAACAAAACGACAUUAUGCUGAUAUGAUUGUAGGUUCAGAAGAAGAUAACCUGAUUCUCUUUCAUGAGAAAAUAAGCCCCUAUAGCGCAACAGUUCUCCUGCCAAAACCCCAACAAGGAAAGCUGACGAUUAAGGCUGUUCUUAUAUUUGAAGAUUACAUUGGCAUUGACCUAAACCAGGAGCUAAUAUUAAUGAAGGAAAGCAGUUUCAGAACAAAUAACAAACGAGGAAUAAAAGCACCCUCUCUUCCUGUACCUGAGGAAGUAUGUAUUAUAGAAGAUGAUACUUAUGAAGGCCCGAGUGAAGUGCUUCCAAACUCGAAGAAAUCCAAAAGGGUAGAUGGUUCCAUGCCCAGUUUCAAGCUUCUAGAUGAUGACUCUGAAGAAGAUGAAAUUGCUGCCAAAGUUCAAAAUGAUGACAACAUUGUGACACAACAAACAGUAUUUGACCACAUACGUGAAAAGGCAAAGAACUUCCCUGUCGUGGUGGCAUCAAAUAGUAAGUUUCCUCCAUCAUCAGAGCCCUUGCUUUUGGCAAGGAAACGUGCUCGUGAGAAGAAGCUUGGAAUGGAAAGUGGAGCAGAGGUUCCGGAAUGGAAUAAAGUUCCAAGACGAACUGUGGUCAAUCCAUCUUCAGAACCUAAAGAAGAACAACAUUUUUCAAGUAUCAACAAUCAUCCAACUCCCAGAAGCUCAGCUGCCCAGAACUUCAUGGAUGACAGAGCUGGGCAUCCCUCUGACCUUGAAGAUGGCAAAUUGAAAACGUUAACAGGAGAAACGAUAUUCGACCACAUACGCACGAAAGCUAAGAUUUUUCCAGUGAUUGGUAAACCAAAUGUGGUGGAGGCCGAGUCUUUAAUCCAGAGAAAAGAAUCCCCAUAUAAGACUGAAAAAGAGUUUAGUAUGGACAGUACUGCCAUUCUGAAAGGAACAAAACCAAAUGAAGUUAUUAGAGAUACUGAAUCUGAUGGGAUGUUGUUCUCCAGAAGCUCCUGCAACCUUCCUGUAAAUUUGAAGGUUUCUCCUGGAGGUUUAGACAAUGGAGCUAAUCUCUCAUCAAGUAACAUGCUAUCUUUCGAUAUUUCCAUGUUCAAGAAUCCGAAGCGACCUGCAGAUGUUGGAAGCACGAUGGAGAAUACUAGGAAGAAACAUCAGCACUCUCCAAUUGUACCACCAAGGCACUGUUCAUUCACAGCAGUUGGAAAAUCCAGGGAAGCAGAAACAUUUCUCGGGUUUGAGAGAAUUAUGGGAGCACCUAAGUUGGGACAUGCUGCAUAUAAUGGUCCAAGUAUAAUCAAGGAGAUCUUCUAUGGGAUGACGAUUGCGCUCGCGGCCGGUUACCUGUGGAAAAGGCAUCACUGGAACGAGAAGAGGAGGAAAAAGGAGUUUUAUGAUCUGCUUGAUGCAGGUGAAAUCACUGUCGUCGUCGAAGAUGAGUAG